GGGAUAUUGCACAAUGGGGGAAACCCUGAUGCAGCGACGCCGCGUGAGUGAAGAAGUAUCUCGGUACGUAAAGCUCUAUCGGCAGGGAAGAAAGAAAGCCUUUGGCUUUGGACGGUACAUGACUAAGAAGACCCGGCUAACUACGUGCCAGCAGCCGCGGUAAUACGUAGGGGGCAAGCGUUAUCCGGAUUUACUGGGUGUAAAGGGAGCGUAGACGGCAGCGAAAGUCUGGAGUGAAAUGCCGGGGCUCAACCGCGGAACUGCUUUGGAAACUGUGCAGCUAGAGUGCGGGAGAGGUAAGCGGAAUUCCUAGUGUAGCGGUGAAAUGCGUAGAUAUUAGGAGGAACACCAGUGGCGAAGGCGGCUUGCUGGACCGUAACUGACGUUGAGGCUCGAAAGCGUGGGGAGCAA
rnacentral:rRNA from 1 species